rnacentral:rRNA from 1 species
UACGUAGGGGGCAAGCGUUGUUCGGAAUUACUGGGCGUAAAGGGCGCGUAGGCGGCACGGCAAGUCGGGGGUGAAAGCCCGGGGCUCAACCCCGGAGGGUCUUCCGAAACUGCCGAGCUAGAGUGCGGAAGAGGCAACCGGAAUUCCCAGUGUAGCGGUGAAAUGCGUAGAUAUUGGGAAGAACACCGGUGGCGAAGGCGGUCAACUGGCCCUCAACUGACGCUGAGGCACGAAAGCGUGGGGAGCAAACAGG